CAGCCGCCGCGGUAAUACGUAGGUGGCAAGCGUUGUCCGGAAUUAUUGGGCGUAAAGGGCUCGCAGGCGGUUUCUUAAGUCUGAUGUGAAAGCCCCCGGCUCAACCGGGGAGGGUCAUUGGAAACUGGGAAACUUGAGCGCAGAAGAGGAGAGUGGAAUUCCACGUGUAGCGGUGAAAUGCGUAGAGAUGUGGAGGAACACCAGUGGCGAAGGCGACUCUCUGGUCUGUAACUGACGCUGAGGAGCGAAAGCGUGGGGAGCGAACAGGAUUAGAUACCCCUGUAGUCCCUGUCUCUUAUAC
rnacentral:rRNA from 1 species